CCAGGUCCCCACCACCCAGUAGAGGGCCUGCCACAUAAUGAGAAGAGCGACUUCCAGAGGAAGGAAGAACUUACUCAAGAUCAACGGUGGGUCCUAACAUAGUGUCUUCCAGAGAUGCAGCCGCCCCCAAAACCUCCCCUUCUCCUGCCUGCAUCCCUAGAGAAGCAGGAGCCACAGGAACCACCCCAAAAGGCCAGUGGACAGGAGUCACAAAGGUGGGCCUUGGAGGAUUGAAAUCAAAGCAACCAACCAAGGACUAACAUGAAUCCUCAGAAGUCAUU